rnacentral:rRNA from 1 species
ACGGGUGAGUAACGCGUGGAUAAUCUGCCCUUAUGAUCGGGAUAACAGUUGGAAACGGCUGCUAAUACCGGAUACGCUCAAGAUGAACUUUUUGAGGAAAGAUGGCCUCUGCUUGCAUGCUAUCGCGUAAGGAUGAGUCCGCGUCCCAUUAGCUUGUUGGCGGGGUAACGGCCCACCAAGGCAACGAUGGGUAGCCGAUUUGAGAGGAUGAUCGGCCACACUGGAACUGAAACACGGUCCAGACUCCUACGGGAGGCAGCAGUGGGGAAUAUUGCGCAAUGGGCGAAAGCCUGACGCAGCGACGCCGCGUGAGGGAUGAAGGUUUUCGGAUCGUAAACCUCUGUCAGAAGGGAAGAAACUACAUUGUGCUAAUCAGCAGUGUACUGACGGUACCUUCAAAGGAAGCACCGGCUAACUUCC